rnacentral:rRNA from 1 species
GACGAACGCUGGCGGCGUGCUUAACACAUGCAAGUCGUACGGUAAGGCCCUUUCGGGGGUACACGAGUGGCGAACGGGUGAGUAACACGUGAGUAACCUGCCCACAACUUUGGGAUAACGCUAGGAAACUGGUGCUAAUACUGGAUAUGUGCUCCUGCUGCAUGGUGGGGGUUGGAAAGCUCCGGCGGUUGUGGACGGACUCGCGGCCUAUCAGCUUGGUGGUGGGGUAGUGGCCUACCAAGGCGGCGACGGGUAGCCGGCCUGAGAGGGUGACCGGCCACAUUGGGACUGAGAUACGGCCCAGACUCCUACGGGAGGCAGCAGUGGGGAAUAUUGCACAAUGGGCGCAAGCCUGAUGCAGCAACGCCGCGUGCGGGAUGACGGCCUUCGGGUUGUAAACCGCUUUCAGCAGGGACGAAGCUUUUUGUGACGGUACCUGCAGAAGAAGCACCGGCUAACUACGUG